rnacentral:rRNA from 1 species
UCAGAUUGAACGCUGGCGGUAUGCUUAACACAUGCAAGUCGAACGCGAAAGAGACCUUCGGGUCUUGAGUAGAGUGGCGGACGGGUGAGUAACGCGUAGGAACCUACCUGGUAGCGGGGGACAACCUGGUGAAAACCAGGCUAAUACCGCAUACGCCCUACGGGGGAAAGCAGGGGAUCUUCGGACCUUGCAUUAUCAGAUGGGCCUGCGUCGGAUUAGCUGGUUGGUGAGGUAAUGGCUCACCAAGGCGACGAUCCGUAGCUGGUUUGAGAGAAUGAUCAGCCACACUGGGACUGAGACACGGCCCAGACUCCUACGGGAGGCAGCAGUGGGGAAUAUUGGACAAUGGGGGCAACCCUGAUCCAGCAAUACCGCGUGUGUGAAGAAGGCCCGAGGGUUGUAAAGCACUUUCAAUUGUGAAGAAAAGCCUAAGGUUAAUAACCUUGGGUCUUGACGUUAACUUUAGAAGAAGCACCGGCUAACUCCGUGCCAGCAGCCGC